rnacentral:rRNA from 1 species
UACGUAGGGUGCGAGCGUUGUCCGGAAUUAUUGGGCGUAAAGGGCUCGUAGGCGGUUUGUCGCGUCGGGAGUGAAAUCCACUGGCUUAACUGGUGGCUUGCUUUCGAUACGGGCAGACUGGAGGUAUGCAGGGGAGAACGGAAUUCCUGGUGUAGCGGUGAAAUGCGCAGAUAUCAGGAGGAACACCGGUGGCGAAGGCGGGUCUCUGGGCCGAAAUUGACGCUGAGGAGCGAAAGCGUGGGGAGCGAACAGG